rnacentral:rRNA from 1 species
AUACGGAGGAUGCGAGCGUUAUCCGGAUUUAUUGGGUUUAAAGGGUGCGUAGGCGGAUUGUUAAGUCAGUGGUGAAAAGCCAUCGCUCAACGAUGGUCGUGCCAUUGAUACUGGCAGUCUAGAGUUCCGUUGCCGUGGGUGGAAUGAGUAGUGUAGCGGUGAAAUGCAUAGAUAUUACUCAGAACACCGAUUGUGAAGACAUCUCACGAAGCGGCGACUGACGCUGAGGCACGAAAGCGUGGGGAUCGAACAGGAUUAGAUACCCUGGUAGUCCACGCAGUAAACGAUGAUGACUAACCGUUGGUCUUAUCAGAUCAGUGGCCAAGCGAAAGCGAUAAGUCAUCCACCUGGGGAGUACGACCGCAAGGUUGAAACUCAAAUGAAUUGACGGGG